AUUGAACGCUGGCGGCAUGCUUUACACAUGCAAGUCGAACGGUAACAGGCCGCAAGGUGCUGACGAGUGGCGAACGGGUGAGUAAUGCAUCGGAACGUGCCCAGUCGUGGGGGAUAACGCAGCGAAAGCUGCGCUAAUACCGCAUACGAUCUAUGGAUGAAAGCGGGGGACCGUAAGGCCUCGCGCGAUUGAAGCGGCCGAUGUCAGAUUAGGUAGUUGGUGAGGUAAAGGCUCACCAAGCCAACGAUCUGUAGCUGGUCUGAGAGGACGACCAGCCACACUGGGACUGAGACACGGCCCAGACUCCUACGGGAGGCAGCAGUGGGGAAUUUUGGACAAUGGGCGCAAGCCUGAUUCAGCAAUGCCGCGUGCAGGAAGAAGGCCUUCGGGUUGUAAACUGCUUUUGUACGGAACGAAACGGCUCUGGUUAAUACCUGGGGCUAAUGACGGUACCGUAAGAAUAAGCACCGGCUAACUACGUGCCAGCCGCCGCGGUAAUAC
rnacentral:rRNA from 1 species